GGGGGAUAUUGCACAAUGGAGGAAACUCUGAUGCAGCAACGCCGCGUGAGGGAAGACGGUUUUCGGAUUGUAAACCUCUGUCCUUGGUGACGAAAAAAAUGACGGUAGCCAAGGAGGAAGCUCCGGCUAACUACGUGCCAGCAGCCGCGGUAAUACGUAGGGAGCAAGCGUUGUCCGGAUUUACUGGGUGUAAAGGGUGCGUAGGCGGCACUGCAAGUCAGGCGUGAAAUAUAUGGGCUUAACCCAUAGACUGCGUUUGAAACUGUGGUGCUUGAGUGAAGUAGAGGUAGGCGGAAUUCCCGGUGUAGCGGUGAAAUGCGUAGAGAUCGGGAGGAACACCAGUGGCGAAGGCGGCUUGCUGGACAAAUACUGACGCUGAGGUGCGAAAGCGUGGGGAGCAAACA
rnacentral:rRNA from 1 species